AUGAUUAAACUAGGAGUGCUUGUUUGUUCGAGUUUGCCUUUAUAUUUGAUUUGCUUUGUGGAGUCCAUAGUUCAGUUUUUUGAUGCUUCUCAAUCACACAUCACUUCAGCAUCCAAAGAAAAUAUGCUAAACAUGAAGAAAGAGGAUGCAUCAACCAUGGCUAAUGCUGCAGCCCAAAAUCACUUUCGAAAAAUCCAAUACACAUGCUAA